rnacentral:snoRNA from 1 species
AUUUCAUGAUUUGGACAUUUUUCGAAGCAUAUUCUUGAACCUCUCCCAAGCCUCGUGAAAGCUCUCAUAUUCGGAUUGUUGGAAAGUGGUUAUGUCAUGCUUGAGUUU